rnacentral:rRNA from 1 species
GACGAACGCUGGCGGCGUGCUUAACACAUGCAAGUGGAGCGACGAAACGGGCUUCGGCCCGUGGCAAAGCCGCGAACGGGUGAGUAACACGUGGGUAACCUGCCCCGAUGACCGGGACAACCCGGGGAAACCGGGCUAAUACCGGAUGUGGUCCUUCCACAUGAGUGGAAGUACUAAAGGUAGCUUCGGCCUCCGCAUCGGGAUGGGCCCGCGGCGCAUUAGCUUGUUGGUGGGGUAAUGGCCUACCAAGGCGACGAUGCGUAGCUGGUCUGAGAGGACGAUCAGCCACACUGGGACUGAGACACGGCCCAGACUCCUACGGGAGGCAGCAGUGGGGAAUCUUGCGCAAUGCGCGAAAGCGUGACGCAGCAACGCCGCGUGGGCGAAGAAGUCUU